rnacentral:rRNA from 1 species
AUUGAACGCUGGCGGCAGGCCUAACACAUGCAAGUCGAGCGAGCGGCGGACGGGUGUGGAAUGUAAGGGGACUGCCCGAUAGAGGGGGAUAACUACUGGAAACGGUAGCUAAUACCGCAUACUAUCGGAUAACCCAUAUGGGAUUAGCUAGUAGGGGAGGUAAUGGCUCAACUAGGAGACGAUCCCUAGCUGGUAUGAGAGGAUGAUCAGCCAAACCGGGCCUGAGACUCGGCCCCGAGUCCUGCGGAGGCAGCGGAGGGUAAUAUUGCACAAUGGGCGCAAGCCUGAUGCAGCCAUGCCGCGUGUAUGAAGAAGGCCCUAGGGUUGUAAAGUACUUUCAGUCGGGAGGCGUUACCGACAGAAGAAGCACCGGCUAACUACGUGCCAGCAGCCGCGGUAAUUC